CCACCUAUGGUAAGACCCCUUCAACACCCUCUGGCUCCAGGCUGUCCCUGGAAGUCUCACACCUGCCUUACCCCAGCGACAAGGGCAGCUGCGUGCUGGAUACCCUAGCUCACUCUGCCCAGAUCACCUCCUCCAUCUCACCUGUGGUGCGGUCUCCACCUGGUCCUAGUUCAGGCUUCCUCCAUCCCCCACUCUGAGGCUCCUCCUACUCCCAGCCUUUAACCCCCUGAGGUCUGACGAGGAGGAGGAGGAGAGAGGGGAAAAUGCCUGCUCACCUCCACAUUGUCACGGGAACAAACCAUCCCACAGGGACCGGCACUUGUAAGCCAUUGUUGUACGUGCUUGGCACAUUAGAAAUCCAGAGGGCAGAAUGCCUCCCUCUCUCCACUACAAAGAAAGAUAGUCAGACAGGUCAGAGCGAGUGAACAACACACCUCGGUGUCUUCUUUAACAAAUCCCUGGCAACUAAGCUUCCUCACAACAAACAAAUGGACAAGUGCCAUUCAGCAGCCACUCCCGGCUGGUGUUAGGUCAGUGCCGGCCAGAGGCUCAGGUUUUUACGGAAAGCAGGUUGCAGUGGCUUGGGCUCGAGAGCGUAAUUGAUGGAAACACUCAAGCACCUGAAGGCCAUUCAUUUGCCUCCAACCUCGAGCCUCUUAGCCAGGGAUACAGAGAGAGGAGGAGGUGAGCUCUGUCUGUUACCUCUUGAUUUCCCCGUCUAAGAGCCGAGUUUUCUUCAUCUGCUGCCUUGGGAACUCAGCUGGGCCCUUUUGCUGGAGCAGGACAUGCACGGUUUGGUUUCCCGGGCAGCAGGCUGAGUCUGCAGGAUGGUUAUUCAAGAACAAUGGAGGAGGAAGCUGGAGUGGCUGCGGGACAGCCUGGCCAGGGAAGCCCUCAGAGCUGUCCUGAGUGGGCUGGGGCGGCCAGCCCUGGUUUCUCUCCAGCACAGACCUUUGGCUGUGGACCCUCAGAGGAGGGUGUCUCUGUGGGCAGGGCUCUUUGCAGCUGAGGUGUCCUGGAGCCAGCUGCCAGCAGCAGUGCCAAGCCUGGAACGUGGAGGCGGCUGCUGACUUUGCUGAAUGAAUGUAGGAGGAAGGCAAAGGGAAGGAAGGGAGGCUCCGUCAGCUGCCCAGGAGCUGCUCUGGUGGCUCCCAGCAGGCUUCGGGGCAAGCACUCCUGGACCGAGAGGAGGCUGUGAUCCUGCAGUGGGGCCUGGAGAGAGGCUGGGGAGCUGCUGUCUUGGGAAAACCUGAGUUCGCUCCACGCCAGAGCGGAUCCCUGUGGGAUUGCAGGCAGAAGGGAACAGAAGUCUGUGGCCCACGGAGGCUGACUUGUAGGACUUCAUGACCUUUACAUCAUGCCCUCUAAUACAGUCCGAUGUGUCUUAGUAGAACAAUUAUGGUUUAGGUUGUGCAGCAAUCAAAUCGUUUAACUUAACACCUGCCAGGCGCAGUGGCUCACGUUCUAAACUCCCAGCACUUUGGGAGGCCAGGGCACGAGGAUAAUUUGAGCCCAGGAGUUGGAGACCAGCCUGGGCAACAUAAGGAUACCCCAUCUCUAUAAAACAUUUAAAAGCUAAUGGAGUGUGGUUGUACUCAAAACUCAGGAGGCUGAGUGGGAGGAUCGCUUGAGCCCAGUGCAUCAUGCACUGCAGCCCAGGUGGCAGAGAGAGCCCUUGUCUCAGAGCAACAAUGACAACAGCAACAACAUCUAAUCCUCCCGUCCCAAUGUACUUCUUAAGUAAAGUGAUUACUCCAGCAGGAUGUGCUGAUUAGGGAGCUCCUCACCCGCAGCUCCCGAGGGCCCCAGUUGGAGAAACCUGGACUUCAAGGCACCCCUGGGAGGUGGCAGGGGAGCAGGUGGGGAUGGGGAGCUGGGGGGAGCCUGCAUAGCCUCAGGUUUCUUCCACUGCCCCAAGGCCUGUGCCUCGUUGGAGGUGUGCUGGGUUUGCCUCUUGAAGCCAGGGCUCCAUUUUGCAGUGUGGUAUCAGGCACAGCCUGGGUGCUGAGUGAGCUUUUUGAGCAAAUGAUAAAAGCUUGAAUGGUGACUCUCAGGGGAGAGUUCAGGGGAGGCCAGGUGUCGGGGGAAUGACCAGACCCUUGCCCAGGAGGGAGUAGUCUCAAGCAGAGAAUGGAUGGGAGGGUGGGGAGUGUGCAGCCCCCAAGGCCUGGCACUCCAGCCAGCCUUGGGCCUCUGUUGAGCCAUCUGGGGUCUUUGAUACAAGCAUUCCUGCAAGAGCACCUUGCAUGCCCCAUCUUCCUAUCAGGACAGGCAGGAAUCGAGUAGGUGAGUGGGCUGACCCUUCUGGACCCCUGUUUUUCUUUUCUUUUCUUCCUUCCUAUUAUUAUUAUUAUUAUUUUUUGAGAUGGAGUCUCACUCUGUUGGCCAGGCUGGAGUGCAAUGGCGCUAUCUCCACUCACUGCAACCCCCGCCUCCUGGGUUCUAGCCAUUCUCCUGCCUCAGACUCCCAAGUAGCUGGGAUUACAGGCACGUGCCACCACACCUGGCUAAUUUUUUUGUAUUUUUAGUAGAGAUGGGGUUUCACCAUGUUGGCCAGAAUGGUCUCAAACUCCUGACCUCAUCAUCUACCCACCUGGGCCUCCCAAAGUGCUGGGAUGACAGCUGUGAUUCACUGCGCCUGGCCUGCCUUUUCUUUUCUUUUCUCUUCUCUCCCUCUUUCUUUCCUUCCUCGCUCUUUUUGGGAGACAGGGUCUUGUGCUGUUACCUGGGUUGUAGUGCAAUAGUGUAGUCUCGGCUCACUACAACCUCCACUUCCCAGGUUCAAAUGAUUCUCCUGCCUCCCAGGUAACUGGAAUUACAGGUGCCUGCCACCAUACCUGGCUAAUUUUUUGUAUUUUUUUGUAGAGAUGGGGUGUCACUAUGUUGGCCAAGCUGGUCUCCAACUCCUGACCUCGUGAUCAGCCCACCUGGGCCUCCCAAAGGGCUGGGAUUACAGGCAUGAGCCACUGUGCCUGGCCUCUUUCUCUUUCCUUCUUCCCUUCCCUCCUUUUUCUUCCUCUUCCUCUUUCUCUCUCUCUCUUUCUUUUUCUCUUUCUCUCCUUCCUUCCUUCCUUCCUUCCUUCCUUCCUUCCUUCCUUCCUUCCUUCCUUCCUUCCUCCCUCCCUCCCUCCCUCCCUCCCUUUCUUUUCUUUCUUCUCAGAGUCUUGCUCUUUUGCCCAGGCUGGAGUGCAGUGGCAUGAUCUCGGCUCACUGCAACCUCUGCCCCUCGAGUUCAAGUGAUUCUCCUGCCUCAGCCUCCCGAGUAGCUGGGAUUCCAGGCGCGUGGCACCACACUCAACUUUUUUUAAUUUUUUUUAUUUUUAGUAGAGUUGGGGUUUCACCAUGAUGUUGACCAGAAUGGUCUCAAAUUCCUGACCUCAGGUGAUCCUCCUGCCUCAGCCUUCCAAAGUGUUGGGAUUAUAGGCGUGAGCCGUCGUGCCUGGCCUUGACCCCUGUUUUCUGAUCACCCUCAUUGGGAGGAAAACUCCUCGCCUAAGAGACAACAGAGGAGAAAGUGCUUGGAAAAUAAAAGCAAUAUUCACCACAAAAGAUUUUUAACAUGUAAGUGCUGCAUGACUGCAUUGUCAAACAUUAAUAACUCAGCUAUUUUCAGAUUCCCAAUCAUGAUCAAUGCCCCUGGGACUAUGAAAACGCCAUCACAAGUGUUUACAUUAUUCUCCUGGGUGAGCGGAGCUUUGGAAAGGAAAAGAAGGAAACUGUAAACUGACAAACUUCUGAAAACACUUGGGACUCGCAGGGCUUUUCUUCAGCAGAACCGUGGCUGAGUGACACUUGGCAGGCGCGGAGCACUUCAGGCGUUUCCUUGUCUGACGCUCACAGCAGCCCCCAGGUAGGCAGACACGGUGUAUUUACGCCUUUGAAUUGAGUCCCUUCCAGGGAUCGGGAGUGAGGGAGGGUGUGAGUGUGUGCGGGUGCACACCUGUGCACAGGGGAGGCGGGACCUUUGGAUUCCGAUGCCAGUUACACGGACAUCCUUACACCCUCGGAUAUAACGCCUCCGAGCCUGAGGUGCUCACAAUAUCCCCAUUUUUCUCUAUCCUGAUGGCUUCUGAGAUGCCAGGCCAGCCUCCCUUCCUCACCGCUCAUUUUCUGAGGAGGGGCAGCUCAGGUGGUUGUUGGAGCAGAACACACUGCUUCGAUCCCUCUGUGGGGCACGCCUUGUGGCACAGGGGUCCCUACGCCCUGCACGCCAUCCCCUCUGUGAGGAUGAGCUGCCCUCAUGGCCACUGCGUGGUGGUCGCUGCCGAGGGAUGCGGCAUCACAGCACUUGGUCGCUUCAUCCAUACCCGCUUCGUGCCUACAGCACGCUUGAAACAGUUUCCCAUCACAGCCUCUCUCCCCCGGGGAUGCAUUCUUUCUUAUUGUUUCCGUUUUCUAGUUUGUGGCAGAUUGGAUUCUUGUUUCCAAUUCUUCCCUCUCUCCCUGCUGUAGAAUUUCACAUUUGCCUCUAUCGCCAGGUGCUUUGCAGGGUGUCCCCGCCCUCCCCCACCAAGAGUGGGUGCAGAAUUUUUCCCUGCUCUGUCAAUGCUGGGUGUGGCCACGUGCCCUGAAAUGAUGCCCGGAGCCCAACCUCUGCUGACCUGUCCCCACAAAUAAAAAUGCCUUUUCUUUUUUUGAGACAGAGUCUACCACUGUUGCCCAGGCUGCAGUGCAGUGGUGCAAUGUCUGCUCACUGAAACCUCCGCCUCCUGGGUUCAAGCGAUUCCCUGCCUUCGCCUCCUGAGUAGUUGGGAUUACAGAUGCCCACUACCACUUAUUUUUAGUAGAGAAGAGGUUUCACCAUGUUGGCCAGGAUGGUCUCGAACUCCUGACCUCAUGAUUUGCCUGCCUCAGCCUCCCAAAUGGCUGAAAUUACAGGUGUGAGCCACUGCGCCUGACCAAAACAAAUGUUGAUCUUUGUUGCUGUAGGUCAUUGAGAUUUCUGAGGAAAUCUCAUUAGUCACAUUAUUGUAGUGACCAGUUCCCAAGUCAUUCAUUCACUCAGCAAACACCAUGUGGCAUGUGGCUGCCUUGGGUUAGAAAAGCUGCUGGGAGCAGGACAUAGUCCCUGGCCUCAGGGGUCUUACAAUAUAAUAGCACUGUGGCUGUCAGGCUGUGAGGAGACAAGACGCCAGUCCCCUGUCCCACAGGGGUCUUCAGAGUUUGGGGUGGAGAGGGUGGAAACCGGAGCCCCAGCAGGCGGGGUGCCAGGCAGGGUGGUCCACCUCUCACCCAGAACAACAUGCCUCCUUUUUCAUCUGUGUCAUACUUCGGGGUCUUGAGUAAGGUGCUAUUUCUCAAAAGCAUCCUACUGCCAAAAUAGUUUGCAAAGCUUUGUGGGAGGAAGCUGCAGGUCACGGGUGGGGGUGGGGAACUGAGGUCACACAGACUCAAUAAGGAAGGCUGGGGACUCCUGCCCCCAAACCUCAGGCUUGACCCACUGGGGUCCAUGGGGAGCAGCAGUGUCUUUUCCCUCUUUAUUAUUUUUCCAAAUACCAGCCCAGGGAGACAUGUGAGGACCCAUCUAGCUCCAUGGAAUUCCUCUUCACAUCCCUGUGGGAACACAGGCCGGAAGCAGGGGCUGGCUCAGGGUUCCAUGGUGGCACCCGACUGCCCCGAGGGAAUGACAGUAAAACUUCCAAGACAGUCCGCUUUUUAGGAGUUAUAAGCAAACAGCAAAAACACAGCCUGUCGGUCGUGCCGAAUGCUGUUUUCUCAUCCAAAAACAUGGGAUGAAAAUGCGAAGCUCUGUACAGAGUGACUGAGUCAUACUCAUUGUUCUCCAGUAAACAUCUUGAGUUGUGUUUCACUGAGACUUACGGGUAAGUCUCAGUGGCCCAUGCCUCAGUGUCCAGCUCUGUGAAAUGACAGAAUCAGACACGGCAAAGGUAGACAGCCCCACUCACUCCAGAGUUAAGUGAAGCCCUUGAAGGAAAUGCACCAGGUUUUCUAGGAGUUUCUGACAUUACUUGUUUUUAUUAUCCUUACCAAAACUUUAUGUUCAGCCACUUGUUUUUCCUCUAUCUUUUCUGGAACGCUUCUCUUUAGUGUGUUUCAUGAGUGGAGCACACAAAAGUCUCUUUGACCUUCUCUCUCUCUCUCUCUCUCUGUAAGGCUCUUCUUGGUAUUAUUGAAUUUUAUUCACAGCAAGACCCAUCUGAGGCAAUCCUGGUGCAAUCUUCCUCACUUUGUCCCUCUCUUCCUUCCUUCCUUUCUCUUUCUCUCUCUUUCUUUCUUUCUCUUUUUUCCUUCUCUCUUUCUUCCUUUCUCUCUCUACUCCUUCCUCCCUUUCUCUUUUUCUUUCUUUCCCUCUCUCUCCCCCUCCCUCUCCUCUUUCUUUCUUCUUUCUUUCCUCUCUCUCUCUCUCUCUCUCUCUCUCUCUCUCUCUCUCGUUCAUUUCUUUUUGACACAGAGUCUCCCUCUGUCACCCAGGCUGGAGUGCAGGGCCAUCAUCUUGGCUCACUGCAACCUCUGCCUCCCAGGUGCAAGCGAUUCUCCCGCGUCAGCCUCCUGAGUAACUGGGAUCACAGGCCCACACCUGGCUAAUUUUUUGCCUUUUUAGUAGAGAUGGGGUUUCACCAUGUUGGCCAAGAUGGUCUCGAUCUCCUGACCUCAAGUGAUCCAUCUACCUUGGCCUCCCAAAGUGCUGGGAUUACAAGUGUGAGCCACCGCAUCUGGUCUUUAUUUAUGUAUUUAAAGUGACAGGACAAAAUUGUAUUUGCAUGUACAGCAUGAUGUUUUGAGGAAAAUACACCUUGUGGGAUGACUGGCUCUAGCUAACUGCCACAUGCUUUGCCUCAUAUAUGUACCAUUGUUGUCAAGUGAGAACACUUAACAUCCACUCUUAGCAUUGUUUUGAGAAUACAAUAUAUUACUGUUAUCAUGGUCA